UACGAAGGGUGCAACCGUUGCUCGGAAUUAUUGGGCGUAAAGCGCACGUAGGCGGCUUUGCAAGUCGGAUGUGAAAUCCCUCGGCUUAACCAAGGAAGUGCAUCCGAAACUGCAGAGCUUGAGUACUUAAGAGGAUCGCGGAAUUCCCGGUGUAGAGGUGAAAUUCGUAGAUAUCGGGAGGAACACCAGUGGCGAAGGCGGCGAUCUGGGAAGAUACUGACGCUGAGGUGCGCAAGCGUG
rnacentral:rRNA from 1 species